rnacentral:rRNA from 1 species
AUGGGAUCCAUCCCCAAUACCUUUGUAAAUUUGACCAAUAUCACUACCUUGUCCCUAUAUGACAACCAACUCUCUGGACAUGUUCCUCGAGAACUAGGUUUCUUGGUGAAUUUUGAACAUUUGUUGCUUCAAAACAACCAACUCACAGGUUCCAUCCCCGAUACGUUUGGAAAUUUGAACAAGCUCACUACCUUGUACCUUUUCCGUAACCAAAUCUCCGGAGAUGUUCCUAAAGAAUUAGGAUCCUUGGUGAGUUUAAGUUUAGAAGACAUGCAACUUUACAAAAACAAACUCUUGGGUUCCAUCCCCAAUACCUUUGGAAAUUUGACCAAGCUCACUACGUUGUACCUAUAUGAUAACCAACUUUCCGGGCAUGUUCCCCGAGAACUAGGGUCCUUGGUGAAUCUAGAAGACUUGGAACUUCAUAGAAACAAACUCUUUGGUUCCAUCCCCAAUGCCUUGGGAAACUUGACAAAGCUUACUACAUUGAACCUAGGGGGAAACCAACUUUCAGGGGGCAUUCCUCGAGAACUAGGUUACUUGGUGAAUCUAGUAGACUUGGAACUUGACAAAAACAAACUCAUGGGUUGCAUCCCCAAUACCUUUGGAAAUAUGACAAAGCUCAAUACCUUAUUCCUUAAUGAUAACCAAUUCUCCGGACAUGUUCCACAAGAAAUUGGCACCUUAAUGAAUCUCAACUAUAUACAUUAA